rnacentral:rRNA from 1 species
GAUGAACGCUGGCGGCGUGCCUAAUACAUGCAAGUCGAGCGAACAGACGAGGAGCUUGCUCCUCUGACGUUAGCGGCGGACGGGUGAGUAACACGUGGAUAACCUACCUAUAAGACUGGGAUAACUUCGGGAAACCGGAGCUAAUACCGGAUAAUAUAUUGAACCGCAUGGUUCAAUAGUGAAAGACGGUUUUGCUGUCACUUAUAGAUGGAUCCGCGCCGCAUUAGCUAGUUGGUAAGGUAACGGCUUACCAAGGCAACGAUGCGUAGCCGACCUGAGAGGGUGAUCGGCCACACUGGAACGGAGACACGGUCCAGACUCCUACGGGAGGCAGCAGUAGGGAAUCUGACGCAAUGGGCGGAAGCUUGACGGAGCAACGCCGCGUGAGUGAUGAAGGUCUUCGGAUCGUAAAACUCUGUUAUUAGGGAAGAACAAAUGUGUAAGUAACUAUGCACGUCUUGACGGUACCUAAUCAGAAAGCCACGGCUAACUACGUG